GAGUAGUACUAGGAUGGGUGACCUCUUGAGAAGUCGUCGUGUUGCACCCAU
rnacentral:rRNA from 1 species